UUGAAAGGGAAACGAUUGAAGUCAGUCGUGCUGGCGCGAAAUCAACCCUCUCGUCGAGAGGUCACAUGGCGUGGCGAGCCUCAAAACCGUCACGAAGCGUGAACUCUUGGCGAAAAGGAGCACUUUCGUGUCCGCUGGUUAACAUCAAUUUCGAACGUCAUAAAAAGGCUGGAGGGAUGUGGCUCCUUCGGGAGUGUUAUAACCUUUAGCGGAAUGUGGUGGUCGGGAUUGAGGAUUGCAACGAAUACCUUUAGGGCUGUUCCACCUGGCUUCUCUUUGGUAUCCUGGUGACGACAGCUUGCUGACGUUGUUAGGAUUCGCCUUUGAACAGGCUAGAGUGUGAGCAAAUUCGUUAAGGAUGUUGACGUA
rnacentral:rRNA from 1 species